GAUGAACGCUGACAGAAUGCUUAACACAUGCAAGUCUACCAAGAAUCACUUCGGUGAGGAAUGGUGGCGGACGGGUGAGUAACGCGUAAAUAAUCUGCCCUUUAGACUGGGAUAUCCUUUGGAAACGAAGGUUAAUACCGGAUAUUAUGAGAUGGACGCAUGUUCAACUUAUGAAAGCUAAAUGCACUAGAGGAGGAGUUUGCGUCCCAUUAGCUAGUUGGUGGGGUAAAGGCUCACCAAGGCCACGAUGGGUAGCCGGCCUGAGGGGGUGAAGGGGCAGAAGGGAACGGAGACACGGUCCUGGCGCGUAGGGGGGGCGGGAGUGGGGAAUAUUGGACAAUGGACCAAAAGUCUGAUCCAGCAAUUCUGUGUGCACGAUGAAGGUCUUCGGAUUGUAAAGUGCUUUCAGUAGAGAAGAAAAAAAUGACGGUACCUACAGAAGAAGCGACGGCUAAAUAUGUGCCAGCAGCCGCCGUAACAC
rnacentral:rRNA from 1 species